GGGGGCCUCGCGCCCCUUACAUAGCAACGGCAGGGCUGCCCGAGCCGCGCCUCCACACCAAAAUCAUGCCUACAAAUCCCUCAUGCACACACGUCUGCACCUAACCAUCGCGCCAACACUUCAUAUAAAAAUGUUAUUGAUAAUCAAAAUAGCCAAAUUAUGUAUUGAACUCAGUAAGUCGGACGUCACGUGACUCGAGGCGAGUGGGUUGGCUCCAUGGUGACUUUGUUCAAAUCUUCAGUGUUUCAUGGAGAAAAUUCUGGAGCAGAACCUGAUGAUGGACAUGCACAAGGGCCCGUCAAUUUAUCAGAUAUAUCUGAGGACACCGUGGGAAGCUAAUGAAGAAAUUACCAGAGCCUUGGCUGAGAAUGGUUUGGGAACAGCUCCAUCCAAGACCACAGCAAAUUGCAGAAAAUUAUGGAUGCAGCCCAGUUCAUGACACAAACCAACCGCCCUUCUAUUGAUUCCAUUUACACUUCACGCUGCCUCGGAAUGGCCACCAACAUAAUCAAGGAUGAGUCUCACCCCGGUCACUGCCUCUUUCCCCUCUCCCUUCAGACAAACGAUACAGAAGUGUGAAAACGCACAACUCCAGAUUCAGGGACAAUUUCUUCACGGCUGUUAUGAGCCAACUGAACCAUCCUAUCAACACCUAGAGAAUGGUCCUCAACUACUGUCUAUCUCACUGGAGAUUCUCAGACUAUCUUUCAUUGGACUUUACUGGACUUUAUCUUGCACUAAACGUUAUUCCCUUUAUCAUGUAUCUGUACACUGUGGCUGGCACACUUGUAAUCAUGUCUUUCUGCUGACCUGUUAGCAUGCAAUUAAAAGCUUUUCACAGUACCUCAGCACAGGUGGUAAUAAACAAACUAAUUAAAGGGCUGCAAGGAAAAGCCUGAGAA